rnacentral:lncRNA from 1 species
CGAAAAGUUAAGGGUAUAUAGCCUUACUUUUUUGCUGUUCUUUACCCACUGAUGAAAAAUGAAAAAAGUCGCUAAAAAUGGACGAAGGCUAUAGCCUUACUUUUUUGCCCACUUAUGAAAAAUGAAAAAAGUCGCCAAAAAUGGACGAAAAGUUAAGGCUAUAGCCUUACUUUUUUGCUGUUUUUUACCCACUUAUGAAAAAUGAAAAAAGUCGCCAAAAAUGGACGAAAAGUUAAGGCUAUAGCCUUACUUUUUUGCUGUUUUUUCCCACUUAUGAAAAAUGAAAAAGUCGCCAAAAAUGGACGAAGGCUAUAGCCUUACUUUUUUGCUGUUUUUUUUACCCACUUAUGAAAAAUGAAAAAAGUCGCCAAAAAUGGACGAAAAGUUAAGGGUAUAGCCUUACUUUUUUGCUGUUUUUUCCCACUUAUGAAAAAUGAAAAAGUCGCCAAAAAUGGACGAAGGCUAUAGCCUUACUUUUUUGCUGUUUUUUUUUACCCACUUAUGAAAAAUGGAAAAAGUCGCUAAAAAUGGACGAAAAGUUAAGGUAUAUCCUUACUUUUUUGCUGUUCUUUACCCACUUAUGAAAAAUGAAAAAAGUCGCUAAAAAUGGACGAAGGCUAUAGCCUUACUUUUUUGCUGUUUUUUGCCCACUGCUGAAAAAUGGAAAAAGGCGCUAAAAAUGGACGAAAAGUGAUAUAGCCUUACUUUUUUGCUGUUUUUUGCCCACUGCUGAAAAAUGGAAAAGGGCGCUAAAAAUGGACGAAAAGUAAAGGGUAUAGCCUCACUUUUUUGCUGUUUUUUUCCCACUUAUGAAAAAU